ACCUGGCUGGCUCAGUUGGUAGAACAUGCAACUCUUGAUCUCAGGGUCAUGAGUUUGAACCUCAUGCUAGGUG
rnacentral:tRNA from 1 species